GGCUCAAGUGAUGAGAGAAAAACUGCAACAUUAUGAUGGAAGUUAAGCUCCUGUGAUUCCUAAGUAUUUAAGUCUCUGUACC
rfam:Oryza punctata chromosome 2, whole genome shotgun sequence.